AUAGUGUAUAAUAAAGUUGUUGCAGUAAAAAAGCUCGUAGUAUUUCUGUUAAUAAUUAAUAUAAAUAUAUUGUGAUGAAUAUUUUAUAUAAUAUUACACAUAAUUCAUAUUACUAUAUAUUUUUAGUAUAUGAAAUUUUACUUUGAGAAAAUUAGAGUGCUUAAAGCAGGCAUAUGCCUUGAAUACUCCAGCAUGGAAUAAUAUUAAAGAUUUUUUAAGUUCUAAGAUAAGAAUAAUGAUUAAUAGGGACAGUUGGGGGCAUUUGUAUUUAACAGUCAGAGGUGAAAUUCUUAGAUUUGUUAAAGACAAACUAAUGCGAAAGCAUUUGCCAAGGAUGUUUUCAUUAAUCAAGAACGAAAGUUAGGGGAUCGAAGACGAUCAGAUACCGUCGUAGUCUUAACCAUAACUAUGCCGUACUAGAGAUGGAGAGUG
rnacentral:rRNA from 1 species